rnacentral:rRNA from 1 species
ACUUAGGAAUCUACCUAGUAGUGGGGGAUAGCACGGGGAAACUCGUAUUAAUACCGCAUACGACCUACGGGAGAAAGGGGGCAGUUUACUGCUCUCGCUAUUAGAUGAGCCUAAGUCGGAUUAGCUAGAUGGUGGGGUAAAGGCCUACCAUGGCGACGAUCUGUAGCUGGUCUGAGAGGAUGAUCAGCCACACCGGGACUGAGACACGGCCCGGACUCCUACGGGAGGCAGCAGUGGGGAAUAUUGGACAAUGGGGGAAACCCUGAUCCAGCCAUGCCGCGUGUGUGAAGAAGGCCUUUUGGUUGUAAAGCACUUUAAGCAGUGAAGAAGACUCCGUGGUUAAUACCCACGGACGAUGACAUUAGCUGCAGAAUAAGCACCGGCUAACUCUGUGCCAGCAGCCGCGGUAAUACAGAGGGUGCAAGCGUUAAUCGGAAUUACUGGGCGUAAAGGGAGCGUAGGUGGCUCUAUAAGUCAGAUGUGAAAUCCCCGGGCUCAACCUGGGAACUGCAUCUGAAACUGUAGAGCUAGAGUAUGUGAGAGGAAGGUAGAAUUCCAGGUGUAGCGGUGAAAUGCGUAGAGAUCUGGAGGAAUACCGAUGGCGAAGGCAGCCUUCUGGCAUAAUACUGACACUGAGGCUCGAAAGCGUGGGUA